AUCAAAGUUCACCUAAUGGAAGGGGGGAGGCAGUAGUAAGUGAACGCCACUGAUCUCAGAGCAGCCAGUUUAAUCAUUAUCAGGGACAUAAUGCUGUGCGUUGUAUUUGUGCUAACGGCAGGAAUAAAAAAAUAUUCACUUCAAAUGAAUGGUAUGAAGUGGUCCUGGGACAUCAUGGAAAAUUCAACAAGAUCAAGACGCUUACUUCCAGGUCCACUCCUUCAACGUGAUGAGUGUCUCUAAGAAAGAAUACUGCAGCGUCUGGAUGGGCUUUCUCCACAGCACCAGAGAGAGACGCUCUUCUCGUUCCUGCUGCCGUCGUUCUCUAACAGACAUAUCU